rnacentral:lncRNA from 10 species
CUUUUCUUCCUUGUCUAGUGAAGGGGCGCUGCCCUUCCUUAGUGUCUGGGUUCCCGAGAGGUGUCUUAUGUGAAACUCUGCAUCCCUCAGGCUCUCCCUUGCCUGAGUCGAGUCUAGAAAGCUGGGUCACAAAACAUUUCUUGUAAAAAUCUCCUACCCUCCUCCUGUAUUCAUCACCUGAGAUACAGAGCAUCAUGCUUCAUCUCUAGGACCUAAGAUUGGCCACACUGGACCAGACCCAUAGACCAGUUAAGCCAGCAGCUUGUUUGGAUUACAGACAACUCUGCCUUCCUCAAGUUGGUGACCCUGAGGCACAGAAAGCUGAGGGAAUUUGUUCGAAGUCACACAGCUGGUUUGGGAGCAGAGAGAACAAAAGAUCCCACAUGGGUCUUCAAUUCUAAGCCACAUGUUCCUGAUUUGGAGUCUACAGGGCUUGCAAAACUGACAGUCAUGCCAUUGGUGUGUACAUGCUCUCUUGAAGACCUCAUGGAGAGCACAAAUGAUUUGCUGGGUGUACAUGUGGCGUUCUUGGGGUGAAGGACAAUACAGUGAAGGAGCCUGAAGUAAGAAGGAACAUGCUAGGUCCCUUUUUUUGUCAAUGGACUGCAUCCUUGAUACUUCUUGUUAUACUUCAGAAUAAAAAUUAGCGGGGCAGAAGCUGUCAUCUGUGUGUGCACCUCA